rnacentral:lncRNA from 1 species
CCGUGUUUCCAUGGGUGAGAGUGAUGGCUGUGAAAUGUCCUCCUCAGGCUUGCUGGUUGAAGAUGGCGGCGGUGAUGAGCUCCCUUCGGGCUCUGGCGGGAAGAUGGAUGCCUAUGGGGAGCAUUUUUUGCACUAAGGGAGUGGGGGUGGUAACUUUGCCUCAGGCUUCAUGGUGGAAGAGAAAGACUCAGAUGUGCCUAAACUAGC